rnacentral:rRNA from 1 species
CAGCCGCCGCGGUAAUACGGAGGGUGCAAGCGUUAAUCGGAAUUACUGGGCGUAAAGCGCACGCAGGCGGUCUGUCAAGUCAGAUGUGAAAUCCCCGGGCUUAACCUGGGAACUGCAUUUGAAACUGGCAGGCUAGAGUCUUGUAGAGGGGGGUAGAAUUCCAGGUGUAGCGGUGAAAUGCGUAGAGAUCUGGAGGAAUACCGGUGGCGAAGGCGGCCCCCUGGACAAAGACUGACGCUCAGGUGCGAAAGCGUGGGGAGCAAACAGGAUUAGAUACCCAGUAGUCCCUGUCUCUUAUACA